rnacentral:misc_RNA from 1 species
GUAGGUGAACCUGCGGAAGGAUCAUUAACUAGUAUUGAAGUCCACGGGGUCAAGCUCUCCGAAAGGAGGGUGGGGGGAUGUUUGGUUCCCCCUGCUUGGGCAGACUGGAGAGCAUGGUGCGACCAGCACACUUAGUGUGUUGGCCAGAUUAUGUUUGGCCUCUGCUGAUCGAGCUUGUCACCUGAAUUCUACUACCCUUGCUUUUUGCGCACCCAUUGUUUCCUCGGCAGGCUUGCCUGCCAGUAGGACC